UACAGGGGGGGCAAGCGUUGUUCGGAAUUACUGGGCGUAAAGGGCGCGUAGGCGGCCUUCUAAGUCGGACGUGAAAUCCCUCGGCUUAACCGAGGAACUGCGUCCGAUACUGAAAGGCUUGAAUCCGGGAGAGGGAUGUGGAAUUCCAGGUGUAGCGGUGAAAUGCGUAGAUAUCUGGAGGAACACCGGUGGCGAAGGCGGGUUGCUGGGCCAACACUGACGCUGAUGCGCGAAAGCCAGGGGAGCAAACGGG
rnacentral:rRNA from 1 species